UGGGGAAUAUUGGACAAUGGGCGAAAGCCUGAUCCAGCCAUGCCGCGUGUGUGAAGAAGGUCUUCGGAUUGUAAAGCACUUUAAGUUGGGAGGAAGGGCAGUAAGUUAAUACCUUGCUGCUUUGACGUUACCGACAGAAUAAGCACCGGCUAACUCUGUGCCAGCAGCCGCGGUAAUACAGAGGGUGCAAGCGUUAAUCGGAAUUACUGGGCGUAAAGCGCGCGUAGGGGGUUUGUUAAGUUGGAUGUGAAAGCCCCGGGCUCAACCUGGGAACUGCAUCCAAAACUGGCAAGCUAGAGUACGGUAGAGGGUGGUGGAAUUUCCUGUGUAGCGGUGAAAUGCGUAGAUAUAGGAAGGAACACCAGUGGCGAAGGCGACCACCUGGACUGAUACUGACACUGAGGUGCGAAAGCGUGGGGAGCAAACA
rnacentral:rRNA from 1 species